GCUACUAUACUCUUAUGAGUACGAUCCUCUUAUGAGUACAAUCGCCUCCGUACUCAUAAGUCGUUUUCGAUGAUAAAGCUUCCGAAUCGACGAUCCAUACCGUUAAACAUUUUCUAGAGCAUUUAAAACUUCUAGAAAUCAAAUUUCAUAAUUUUUCGACAUCAUUUACCUUACGAUCAAAAGCUCACAAAAUUGACAAUUUUUAAAGGCCGGUAUGGAAUACUUGCUAGUUUAACGGUGCAAAAGAAUCCGAAUAGGUUGAAUUUUUG
rnacentral:lncRNA from 1 species